GCCUGAGUGGCUCAGUCGGUUAAACGUCUGACUUUGGCUCAGGUCUUGAUCUCACUGGUUGUGGGUUUGAGCCCCACGUCAGGCU
rnacentral:tRNA from 1 species